UACAGAGGUCCCAAGCGUUGUUCGGAUUCACUGGGCGUAAAGGGUGCGUAGGCGGCGGGGCAAGUCUGAUGUGAAAUCUCCGGGCUUAACCCGGAAAUGGCCAUGGAAACUGGCGAACUGGAGUGUGGCAGAGGGGGGUGGAAUUCCGCGUGUAGCAGUGAAAUGCGUAGAGAUGCGGAGGAACACCGAUGGCGAAGGCAGCUCGCUGGGACGGUACUGACGCUGAGGCGCGAAAGCGUGGGGAGCAAACAGG
rnacentral:rRNA from 1 species